CUUCAUCUCCCUUUCUCCUCCUAGCUGGAAUUCUUUUCAUGGUUUCUCUCAAUUUCUAUGGAAAUUUUUGUCUAUUCAGUUGAAUGCGGACUGCGAUUACGGGCUUCUUUCUUUCUUCUUCGUUUCGCGCUCUCCGAUUGGUUAGAGUGUGGACAUUACAACAUGGCCUCUAAUUUAUUGUUUUUCUCGAGUGUUACCGGUGAUUAGAUUUAGUAUGUGUUGGGUGUGCGGACGGAUCAGUUUGGCAGUUUAGGCGCUGUGGAUGUUAUCUUGCUUAAACCCUUGCCAGAGUUUGUUUUCUUUCUUGUUUGAUGGAUCAUUUUACUUCAUCUCCCUUUUUCCUCCUAGCUGGAAUUCUUUUUAGGGUUUCUCUCAAUUUCUGAGAAAUUUUUCUCCUAUUCAGUUGAAUGCGGGCUGUGAUUACGGGCUUCUUUCUUUCGUCUUCAUUUCGUGCUUUCUGAUCAGUUAGAGCGUUGGACAUUGCAAGUUGAUUUUCCUUUGAUUUAUUGUUUCUCUUCUCGAACGUUAUCGGUGAUUAGAUUUAGUACAUGUUUGGCGUGCAGAUGGAUUAGUUUGGUGGUUCAGGCGCUGUGGAUGUUCUCUUGCUUAAACCCUUGCCAGAGUUUGUUUCCUUUCUUGUUUGAUGCACCGGGAGAGUUUGAAGAGUUUUUGGGUGGUCCCUUGUGGGUUUUACGAUUGCAGACUUGUAGAACAGAAUGGGCGAUCUGGGCAUUGAGGCGCGGAAGCCACUCCUAGGUUUGUCUACGUCGCUUGAGGGCAAAAGGAGGAGCAAGAAGAAAGUGCUCGAGAAUGAAGGUGAAAUACAAAGGAGUGAAUGCCUCAGAUCUCUGAGGGAUAUUUCCCUUGCACUUGCUGAGAUGCCUGCACGUGGUGAUCUAACAGGUGAUGUCUGUCACUCGGCAGAUGGUUACCAUCUCAAUGUUAAAGUAUAUGAGAAGCUGCUAUUUAGUGUUUUUGACAUACUGGACAAGGGCAAACUUGCUGAGGAAGUAGGAGAUUCGUGAACUCUUGAAAUCAAUCUGGCAAAUUCUAGGAAUCACAAGGACUAUCCAUGUUAUGGGAGUGUGCUGCAGUAUCCAAGUUGUUGCAUUGUGAUAUGUUUUGAAAAUGAAACAUCUAGAAAGAAGUUUAUCAUAACUGGUGAACAACGGCUUCUACAACAUGCCACUGAAAUGCUAAGAAAGAUUCCACUAAAAUAACAGCGAAGUAUGCAGGAAAAGUUAUAUUUGAAAGGCCUCUGUUUUCCAAUCGAAGGAGAAAUAGGGAAUCAAGAAUUAACAUUUAUGCAUUCUGUCUUGUCACCUAUAAAGCAGUGAGCUGAUAAGCGUU